AUGUCGGACUUUUGGCAAGGAAUUCUCUCUGCUUUAACAUGGGGGUACCUGCUACGUAAUAAAAAGUAAGUGCUUCCAUGUUUCAGUGGAGAGGAUUCCAAACUGGCACAGUUUUAACU
rnacentral:precursor_RNA from 15 species